UACGUAGGGACCAAGCGUUGUUCGGAUUUACUGGGCGUAAAGGGCGCGUAGGCGGCAUGUUAAGUCAGCUGUGAAAUCUCCGAGCUUAACUCGGAACUGUCAGCUGAUACUGAUGUGCUAGAGUGCAGAAGGGGCAAUCGGAAUUCUUGGUGUAGCGGUGAAAUGCGUAGAUAUCAAGAGGAACACCUGAGGUGAAGACGGGUUGCUGGGCUGACACUGACGCUGACAGCGCGAAAGCCAGGGGAGCAAACGGG
rnacentral:rRNA from 1 species